rnacentral:tmRNA from 1 species
GGGGGUGUAGUGGAUUCGACGGGAUGAGUAGAAUCGCAGGCUGCAUGCCGAGUUUGAGCGAUGACACUCGUAAAAAACAUCAUGCAUUAAAUGUAGUUGACAACAACUAUUCUUAUAGCUUAGCUGCGUAACGCAGCUUUGCCGUUCCCUCGGCUUCUUGCCUGUCAGUGCCGUGUGGAGCGCCGACUAUGAUAGGAUAGCGUAGCAUCUUGCCUUUCGUCAGGUGCGGCGUAAAAUUUAUACGAAAUAGUCUGCAGUUGUGUGUUACUGAGCGUUGCUGUAGGCGAAACUUAAUUCAGUAACUAAGCAUGUAGAUGUUUGAACGAUAUACCAUUUCGGACCGGGGUUCGAUUCCCCGCACCUCCACUU